rnacentral:lncRNA from 1 species
AAGUCAGGAUCCAGGUGUGCGUCCCACGGCGGGGAGCCCGUCACACACCUGGUGCUGAGGGGCCGGCACCGCACUCGGUCGGGCUGCGAACGGGCCGCGACUCCAAGAAACGCGCGACCAGGGCGGCGUCUGGGAGCGCCCCGCGCCUCCCGCAGCCGCCGGGUCCGCACCGCGCCGCGCCGCGGGCCGCCUCGUGCACGGCCUCGCCCAGGCCGACCGGCCCCGACACUGUGCGCCGCUCCCGGCAGCCCGAGCUCCAGCGCUCACGGCCAGCGGGCCCUCGGCCCUCAGUGCCGAGCAGCGGGGCCGGGAGCCGGGAGCCGGGAGCCGGGGCCGCACCCCCACGCGGGAGUUGGCGCCCGCCCGCCGCUCGCAGCCCAAGUUUUGCGCCAGGACCCGCCGCCGGGGACGCCGGUGGCUGCGCCCGACGCGAGCCCCCACCGUGGCACCAAGUUGCCAACUCCGGGGGCAACUGAAAACCGAGGCCGCUCCCCCGCAGCCCCAGCGGCCCCGUCACGCGCCGCCCUCCCCGCUCCCCGCUGCCCGCUCCCCCCGGCCCGCGCGGCCUCCCGGGGCGGGGCGGGGCGGGGCGGGGGCGCGGCCUGGGCCUCCCGACCCGCCGGGGCCGAGCCCACGGCCAGGACCGACCGACCGACCGGCCGGCGCGGCCCGGGGGGGAGGGGGGGGCGGGGGGAGCCGCGCAGGCCCCGCGCCGCCGCCCCAGGCCUCGCCGAGCCCCGGCCUCUCGCCGGCGGGGCCGCGGGCAACAAAGGCGGAGGCCCGGCCGGCGCGCGGCGCACCGGGAGGCCGAGGGGUCGCGCGGCGCUCGGCGGAAGCAGGCCUCGGCCCUCCGCGCCCGGCCCCCGCCCGGCCCGGCCUCCCCGGCGCCGCUCCCCGCCGGCCGGGCCUCGCGCGGGGACCUCGGCUGCAGGCGCGCCGGCCGGGCCGCCUCCCCGACCCCGGGCCGCGCGACGGGAGAAGCGGCCCCCGCCCCGGCCUCGCGGCCGACGCGGCGGAAAGCGAAGCCCAGACCAGCCUCCGACGCGGCUCCGCGGACGCUCACCCGGCGGCGGCCCGCUCCGCUUCCUCGCCCAGCGCCGGCGCGACUGCCGCGCUCGGCCCUCCUCUCCCGCAACUCCUCCUCCCGCCUCCUUCCUCCUCCUCCUCCUCCUCCUCCUCCUCCUCCUCCUCCUCCUCCUCCAGGAGGGGCGCGCGGCGGCGGCGGCGGCGGCGGCGGCUGGGCCCGAGCGCCGGGCGGGAGCGGAGGAGCCGAGCGGGCCGCCCCGCGCCCUCCAGUCGGCCCGUGGCGCAGGCGGGCGUCCGGGCGCGGGGGGCGGGGCGGGGCGGGCCGAGCGGGGGCGCGGGGGCGGCCGAGGGCGCGGGGGGCGGGGGGCGGGGCGGGGCGGCCGAGGGCGCGGGGGUCGGAGCGGCGUCCGGCCCUGGGCCCCCCGCCCGAGCGGCUGCCUCCCCGCCCCUCUCCCCCUCCCCUCCCCCCCCCCCCCCCCCGGCGCGGGGAAGCCCUCGGGGCCCGGGGCUCCGGCUCCCCCUCCGCGCGGCGGCGAAGCGCACCUGGCGGCGGCCCUGGCCCGGGCGCAGCGGGCUCCUGGCGGCACCGGGGCCCGGGGAGGGAGCCCGUCCUUCCUUCCCCGCCCCUUCUGCAGCCUCAUGGCGAAGCUGGCCUGGGCGCGAGCCCGCCGCUUGCCCCCCGCCGGCCACUUCUCCCCUCGGCGCUUGAGCGUUUCACCCCGCGGAGCGCGGUGCGCGAUGCUCCGCCGCUGGGUCUCACGGCGGCUGAUGGAAAGUUGCGUCGUGGGCAGCUUGACUCACUUCUUUGGAAACUGA